UGCCCUGUGGUGUAACUGGCAACAUCCCUCGCUUUGAACGAGGAGAUUCCAGGUUCAAACCCUGGCAGGGCAGCCA
rnacentral:tRNA from 7 species